UAAAAAAAAGAUUGGGGUAAUUUGAGUUUCCUCCCCUGACGAAGAUCAUAAUUUGCGUUACAUCCCCUAUAGAGAUAGAAUUAGUGAAACCUCCCCUUGUUACAUUUUCUGUCCAAAACUGGUUAUCUGAGUCAGCAGCUUUGUACAGCUGGACUAAAAUAUACACGUGGACCUUGAGUUUCCGAAAAUACCCUUCUAUUUUCUGUUUGUAUCAAAACCAUGACCGGAAACUAGUGGUUUCAACGAACACCAUAGAUGAACCCUAAAUUUCAAAUUGGUUGAUCUUACCUUGAUAAGUGGGACACCAUAGUAACCCAAGAAUUAAUCUCAGACCACAAUCUCAAUUCUGAGCCACAAACCAACCCAUUCUGCAUUUUACUGUCAUAGCCAUUUUUUAGUUACCAUCUCCUUCUACUUCAGACUCAAUUGCUCCAUCUCAACUGGAAAACAACAACACCCAUCUCUACUCUCCAUCAACAACCUUCUUGACCCCUCCAUAGCCACAAACUCUACCCAUUCGAACUCUAGCCGCCAACCACAUAAAACCCAAUCUACUCAACUCAUCUGAGUCUUAACAACCUUCUUAUUUCACAAUCAAAUCAAACCCAUCAUUCAAUUACCCUCUUCAACUUUCAAUCCAAACCCUAGAAUUCCAUCAAUCAUGACCAGUUCAAACAAUUUUUUUAGCGAUUUCAGAUUCAAAUCAAACCCACGUUCUAAUUUCAACGGCACCGGAGAUAUCAAUUUGUAAUUGCAGUAAAAUCCAUCUUCUGAUCCUUAAUUUCUUCCACAUCUUCACAGCCCCGAACUCAAUUUCUCCUCCCUGAUUUUUCAAUCGAGAACUCAACCAAGCUAUUGCAAAAUCAACAUCACCAAACCCGUAUGAAUCUUCUCACAACUCGUAGGAAACUCGAGUUUAAAUAAAACCCAUGUUCAGAUUUUUAUUUUUUUCCUUUUCUUAUGAAGACCAACGUCGACGGAGAUAAAAGAAAAAGACGAUGAUAAAAAAAUAUGAUGAAAGAAUAUAAAAACGAAAAUAAAAGAAGCAUUAGCUCUUCUCGGCGUCAAAUCCUUACUGAACUCCUAAUCUCCCAUGGCCGUUGUUGAUGGUUUGGGAAGAAAGUGAUUGUAUUUUUUUAUUUUUUUCAGAAAUAAAAAGAAGACGGGGAUUGAGAAGAUGAUGGUGUUUUUGACAGCUAAGCACCGCGUGUAUGUCCAGUUGUACAAAACUGCUGACUCAUAUAAUCAGUCUUGGACGGAAAAUGUAAUGAAGGAAGGUUUCACUAAUUUUAUCUCUAUAGAGGAGAUAACGAAAAUUAUGAUCUUCGCCAGCAGGUGGAUGGGAAAACGUAAGCUUGCAUUAUUGGAAAGCAGUGCGCGACGGGUGAUCAAACGCGUGGGCGACCAAAAACCUCGGGAGGCCGAUCAGGAUCUGCAGGCGCGCGAUGAGCUCCAACGGUUAAAAAUGUAACGGCUCUAUUCUCAACGGCUACAUCUUUGAAACCUAUAAAUUCCCGAUUUUGAAACUUUUUCACUCACUCAAGCCACUCUAUUCUCUUCUUCUUCAUUCUUCUAAAACAAAAUCUUUCUACAAAAUGAGCAAUCUGGUCAGAAAAUUCGUAAACAGUUUAAGGGAAAAAAAGAAAUCGCAAACAUGAGCCUAUACUGAGGCCUCCCACAAAUAUAGAUUAUACUCAGAAUGGUGAAGCAGAGUUUGCUUCGCCGAAUGUCGUUGCUGCUCCAUCAUUAGUUGAUCAAGCAUCCAUAGGUAUACCUAACUUCACUGGUUUCUGAGGCAUCAUAGAGGUAAAUAUCUAAAUUAUUAUUUUUAAAUUUAAAGGAUUUUUAUGAACAAAUAUAGAUUAAGUUAAUAUACUAAAUUAUGGAGUAAUUUGCGGUACUAGUGGUAUACUUACUCCCGUGUUGGUAAACCAAUUCUUAAAGACAAUACCCAUAAAAUUCCAAUCAUGUACAUGUACUGUACGAGUAUCCGGGAGAAGAACACUGGUGGAGACGUAUCGGUUUCCAAUUUUGUUCAGAGGUAUCAACAGAUGAAUCGGAGCCACAACAAUGUUGUUGUUCACCCUUACAAGAAUUUUCAUGAGUUUUCAAAUCAAAAUGUACAAGUUAUUCUUGAUAUUUCUCUCCGAAGAGUUGUUCUUUCACUCUAGAAAUGGAAUGAGGGGUUUGGUAUCGGGGAGAAAGACUGUUGUACCAGUUGCAUGGGAUGUUUGCAAUUGCAACUAACCCCCCAAGACAGAUGCAAACUUCUGCAUCAAAUUUCGGUCGGUUGAGACAGAUGUCGUUGGUGAGGUAUGAACUAAAUACAAAGGUGGAUAUUAAUGAAGCGUUGUAUGUGAACUAGUACAAGUCGAUUGCAAAUCCUAUAAUUGGUACACACAACAUGCACAUAUAUGGGUUUGAUUUCUCAGGGUUGUCGGCUUUGGCCUUGAUACAAACAUCGUUCCUAGGCAGCCUGCUCCAGAAGAUCCAUGCUUUAUGACUUACACGGGUGCAAGUUCUUCAUCAUCUUCGUCAAAUUCUCCCGAAAUCCGUUGGGAGAUGCCAAGUAUUACUUCAAAAGGUGAGCCAACCACGAUCCCCAUUGUUUCCCAAGCUAUGGAACGUGAUUAUCCUUAAUAAAAUGUGGAUGUCAGUAAGGAUGAGUUGAAGAGACAACCUAGCGAUAUGUAUUGGCUGGCUUGGAAAAUGGGGGUUAUACACUUGAAUGUGUGUCGGAAAUUCUAGACAGACACAAUGUUUGGAUUGAAUCCAACUGUAAAUGUUGAUGGGCAUUCAUAGUCUUCUGAUUCUACAAGGAGCAACCGAUUAUGGCACGAGAAUGAUACAAUUGUGGGAGAAACACAAGUACCCACAAUACUUCACCACAAACUGUGCUUGUAUAUCAACCUCAAGUAUGUCACCCAGAUGUUAGGCGCAUUUCAUCAUUGUUCUCUCCCUUCAACCCAAAUGACCCUUACUACACUGUUACACCACCAACACAACAAUAAACAAGUUAUACGUUUGGAGGACCGAGUACUUUCCAAUCGCCUAGUGGUGUUCAAGCAUUUCCUUCUCCUUAUUCAAAUUUUGUAAUUUUUUUGGCGGGUGGGGACAUCAUGGGUCUUGGAGAAUGGACUACAUGCCAAGAAGAUAGCAAUGGACGGCGUUAAAGAAAUUGUAACUGCUAAUUUUGCUACUUAUGUAAUUAUAAUUUUAAUCAAUUAAAAGUACGACUUUUCUUU